rnacentral:lncRNA from 1 species
AUGGGUGAAGCCCCAGGGAGACUGAUAACAAAGACAGGCACAGGCUCUUUUCUCAUUCCAAGUUUUGUGACCAACCUGGCCAUUUGUUGCUUCUCUUUUUCUACUAGAUUGGAAGAUGGGAGCUUGCCUGAUCGUCUCCUCAUCGGCCUGGACUCCAGAGCCAACCCAGCUGAGUGUGUGCAGAGAGUCCCAGGUGAGGGGCACCGCUCAGGACUCAGCAGAGACCACCCCGGAGAAGCUGAUGCUGGUGGAGACAGACCUGUCCUACUGAGCCAGGCCUCUGCAAAGCCUGCUCAGGCGCUGUCCACACCCCAAGGCCUGGGCUCAGGCCGAAGUGGCCCCACAACACCCCCAGCUGACAACCAGCGACUGGCAGAGUCCCCAAGCACGGGGGCCCUCUGUUUACCAGGUCAGGCAUGAAGGAGCACUGAGGGGGCUGGAAAGGGGUGGGGCUGUGUGCGGGUAGCUGGGGUUGAGUGUGGACCCUAAAUCAUGUGGAGAAUUCAGAUCUGUUACAUGUCUUGUUGCCCACAGAGAUAACCAGUGUGACAGCCCAGGCGGCAGAGCCGAGGGUGAGUGCACCUUGGGGAAUGGGGAUGAGAAGGAAAGAUGCUAAUGAGUCAGUUUCAUGUGGUAUGGCCAUCUUGUCCUGCUGUUGGGCCUCUCUCUCCAAGACAGUGAUGCUAUCUAUCCUCUUGGACCCUAUAGACUAUCGAAGUGUAUGUAUACCCGAUUGAAGACCUGCAAGUGAUUUGGGCUUGGGCCAGGGGCUGGAACACAGAGGAACAAUGGAAGCAUAGAGAAAGGGCUCAU